rnacentral:lncRNA from 1 species
UGCGACUUAGAAUUUCGCGUGGGGUGCUGCGGUUCCACCAAUCUACAUAUCACCUCACCUAACAGUUAUUGGAGACAUAUAGACGAUGAGUGUACAACUCUUGUACAAUGCUUCGUAAGCAUAUUGAGCUAACCUGGUCUCCAAGUCAUAAGGACCUCACCUAACAGUUAUUGGACCCGUUCUUUAGUUAAGUCAGACCCACCGUAUAUUCCGCAAAAAUAAAGCUAUGAUUGGGUCCUCACCUAACAGUUAUUGGAGCCCAACCUCACCUUUACCCCACAACAUCUCAUGUUAAUAGAGAGGUCCAAU